CUUCCUUACUGCUGGCUUCCAGGACCGUGGAGGCAUAUCUACUACCAACUAUUAUCCUCGUCGUCGAGUCAGACUUACGGCGAACGACCUGUGAGACCAUGCCAGCAAGUCCCUUUAAGUAUGUGACUUAUCUGGGGUCAUGAAGAACAAGCAUCCUAUGUCACUCAUUCGAAUAGACUCCACCAGGCACCAGGAGCUUUGCAGACAGCCUCCCAAAUGCCCAGGACAGUGCCUUGAACAUUACGGCUCCGUGAGAAAUGAUUAUUCGUAGAUGACUUAAUUCAGGUGGACCCUCAAGACUGGGGAUGCUCAGAGUAGAAAGGUGCCACACAGCGAACCAUCAAGAACCGCUGGAUGGGGAACUGAAGCGUGUGGCUUUAUCUAGGGGAUCAUUGGUGAAAUGCUGAGAGCACUUGGUGUCUCUACAUUGCACUGCUCCGUCCUUUUCCUUGACCCAGAGGACAAACACGCCCGUCUUCUUGAUGCUCUGUCAGACAAAAAUGUUUACAGAAACCGGGUGAGAGGAGCCAGGAACACCCCUACGCCUCAUGGAGCUCUUUCACAUUGAAAAAGGGUGGAUGUGAGGAGGAAUCUAGAAUCGGAACUGUUGUGCGACAGACGCACUCCAUGUUGGCUCUCAUUAAUCUCCCUGCUAAUGGAAGGAGCUGUCACCACCCAUAUUUCACAGGGUUCACAUGUUCUCGGUAGCUGCUUCCUCUGAUGAUGCUGCGGAUCCACCAAGCGGCCUGGAAAACUGCAACGUGAGAUGUGACCCAGCGAUUUAUUUAUUGCACACAAGUCACAGUCAACCACAACAGAGAGCAGUGCGGGUCCAGGCUGCAGUUACUUCUUCCUGUCCCAGCCCAGAGCUUUCUAAGAUGUUGUCUAGGCUGAGAAAUGACCAAAUGAUUUUGAAGUCCCUUAAAUAUCCGUGUUUCUGUACGUGAAGUUCAGUUUUUGAUCUGUGGCGACUCUUCUGUCCCCUUCUCUCUCAUGUCUUCUGUGGCUUAGAUCCGAUGACAUAAUGUAAUGUACGUGACUGAGAAGAAGUUAAUCAUGAGCGAACUGUAGCUGACAUUUAUUGUGGAGGCACUAACUUUUAUAGCUCUAUUGUGUUUUAAUCCUCUCAAUUUUCUGGCAAUUUAGAAGAACAACUAUUUAUAAGGGGAUUAGCUAUGUCUUCAGGCUGCCAAUGUUUCCUGGAGCGAUACUGUGAUAGGGUCAGGGGCUGUCUUAUUUCCCUUCAUUCUCUGACAAACUGCCCAAUCGGUAAAUUUUCUCCGAGGGACAAUCAGUUAGAAAGUGAAACAUUUUGAUUAAAGUCCAAGUGGUGGUUGCUAGAAACUCUGGAAGCAAGCAGUAGUAAUGGAAUUACUUGAAGCUAUAUUUACUUAUUUUUUAAAAUUUAUUUAUUUUUGAGACAGUCUCAUCUUGUAACUCUUCCCUGACUUCAGCUUCCCAAGGGCUGUGAUUCUAGACCUGCAACACUGUGCCUGGUUUGUGGAUUCGAAACAGCUGAACCUUGCUGCUUGUGAAAACGUAGGCGCACAGUACGUUAGGUCUCUUAACCCUUUAGCAGGGCCCAUUAGCGUAAACCACAACUUGCAACCCCCAUGGAAUGGUUGGAGGUAGGAAGAGCCGUGUGUGUGUGUGUGUGUGUGUGUGUGUGUGUGUGUGUGUGUAUCUGUCUGGAGGCCUGGCCUUAGAAAAGGAUUUCAAACCGGGCAGUGGUGACGCAUGUCUUUAAUCCCAGUACUGGGGAGGCAGAGGCAGGUGGAUCUCUGUGACUUCGAUGCCAGCCUGGUCUACAGAGUGAGUUCCAGGACAGUCAAGGCUACACAGAGAAACCUAGUCUCAAAAAACAUGAAAGAAAGAAAGGAAGGAAGGAAGGAAGGAAGAGAAAGAAAAGGAUUUCAAGGUAAUUAACAGCAGCUGGUGAAACUUGAUCAUAGUAAUUUCACAAGAAUUGUCAAGUCAUUAAGGAGACCUUUAUUUGUUUGACACAGUCUUGAACUUGGAGUCCUUUUGCCCUUGUCUCCCAAGGGCUGAGACUGCAGGCAUUUGCCACCACGCACAAACCCAGGCCAUAUAAAAAUGGAUGGUUGUAAUGAACCUAGCCGAAAAAAUAGAUUCUCAUAGACAGAAAAUGGGCUUGACUGCUCUUGGGAACCUUUUCCUCCAGCUGAGUCGCUCGUCCAGCCUUGAUGUGAGCGUCUGUGCCUGGUCUUAUUGUAACUGCUCUAUAACGUCCCCCAAAAGACAAGACUCAAAAUCAAAAUGGAGCCAAUCCUGCUCACGCUCCCUUUUAUCAUGCAAUAUGGUUAAUCUGACUUUCUGAGAAAUCAGGGUUCGAGAGAACAGCCAAGUUUUUUAGGCAGACCAACAUCACUGGCAAGAUAAUAAAGACCCCCCCAUCCUUACACAAACUAGCCUGAGAAGUCCCAAUAUUAACUAAUCCCUUAUAUGUUCUUCCAUGUCCUAGGUCCUGCCUUACAAAGUCACUUUGAACCCAUCCACUCAAGCCCACUUUUUUCUUUUCUUUUUAUUUAUUCUUCUUUCAUACAAUACAUCCCGACUGCAGUUUCCCCUCCCUUCUUUCCUCCCACCCUCCCUUCUUUCCUCCCACUCUCCCUACACCUCCCCUCUCCCCGAGAUCCACUGAGCCUCCAUUUCCCAUCAGAAAAGAGCAGGCCUCCCCAGGGAUAUCAACCAAAUAUGGCAUAACAAGUUACAAUAAGACCAGGCACAGACCCUCACAUCAAGGCUGGACGAGGCAACCCAGCUGGAGGAAAAGGUUUCCAAGAGCAAUCAAACCCAUUUUCUGUCUAUGAGAAACAGUUUCUUCUGCUAGGUUCUGUGGUGGUAUUGUGUUCCCCAAAAUAUUGUGUACUCUAAUAAACUUAUCUGGGGUCAGAGAACAGACAGCCACUAGAUACAAAGGCUAGAAAAUGGU